rnacentral:rRNA from 1 species
GUAAGGAAUAUUGGUCAAUGGACGAAAGUCUGAACCAGCCAUGCCGCGUGAAGGAUGAAGGCCCUCUGGGUUGUAAACUUCUUUUAUCUGGGACGAAAAAAGGGUAUUCUUACUCACUUGACGGUACCAGAGGAAUAAGCACCGGCUAACUCCGUGCCAGCAGCCGCGGUAAUACGGAGGGUGCAAGCGUUAUCAGGAUUCACUGGGUUUAAAGGGUGCGUAGGUGGGUAUUUAAGUCAGUGGUGAAAUCUCCGAGAGUAACUCGGAAACUGCCAUUGAUACUAUUUACCUUGAAUGCACAGGAGGUAAGCGGAAUAUGUCAUGUAGCGGUGAAAUGCUUAGAUAUGACAUAGAACACCAAUUGCGAAGGCAGCUUACUACGGGGUGAUUGACACUGAGGCACGAAAGCGUGGGGAGCAAACAGGAUUAGAUACCCGUGUAGUCC